UGCCCCGCGCCCCCGCUCCCCCCUUUCACCAGGUGGUAAAAAGCACCGGUGGAAGGAAGGAAGGAUGGAACGUCGAACCAGGCAUGGAAUCAUCAUCGUCAGGUUCUAUAUUGUUAGUUAUCCUCUCAACUCUUCUUCUUCUUCUUUUGAGGUUAUCGUCUUCGCCGUCAGGUGUGUGUGAAGCCAGCCAGCCCCUCUCUCCCUCUAAUUUGCUUCGUUUUUGGAAAGGACACCAUAAUCUUCUUUGAUUGCUUCAACCAGCUGGAAAUGCAACCAUAGAAAUCAUCAAGGGAGGGAAAUGCAACCCAUCCCCGCUCCAAACUCUGAUAUAUUUCCAAUAGCACUCUGUUUCAAUUGGCUACUUUACUUUACUAACAUGUUAUGGAUGGAUGAAUAUGACCUCUCAACGAGGAAGGAAGCUUCAUGAAUACCAUUUACAACUUUGUGCCCUCACUCCCCCCAGAAGGAACAACAAGGUCAGAUUAACUUCAUCUCCUGUCGCUGGCCUAUUCUCAGAUUAAGGAUUUCCAAUAUGACACUAUCUUCUUCUCCUAUAG